AUAAAAUAAAAAAAUGUUGGAGCUAUUUUUGUUCUCCAGUGAAUGAACGAAAAAAGAAAAAGAAAACGUAUUCCUUGCUUCUCUGUCUAUGAAGAUAGUCAUCACGGAAAUCUGUGCAGUUAUAAAUAUGGAUUCAAGGUUCUGAGCUCAGGUCCGUGUAAUUGCUCUGCUUCUAUUUCCAAAGCUUAUGAAGGAAUUUGAGAGUGUUUCUUUUGUAAAUUUGUUUUAUCAAACAGAAAUUAGCAAAAAAAAUGACAGAUUCCGGGGAAGAGCCUAAUGAUGAAUCAUCAAAUUCCCAAAGAGGAUCAAAAAGGCAUAACAGACAAAGCAUGGAACAAAUCCAAAUACUUGAAGCAUUCUUUGAGAACUGUCCGCUUCUAAAUGCAAGUCAACAAAAUCAAUUGGCUAGGGAAGCAGAGCUUGAACCAAAGCAGGUCAGAAUGUGGUUUCAAAACAAAAGGACACAAAUAAAGUGUGAAAGAGUAUCAAAACACAUCUCAAGUGUUCCUGAAAGGCCUUCUGUGAUGGUUUCAAAUUUGGCGCCAUCAAAAUCAAAUCUUGUAUAUCCUCCUUCCUUUGGUCAGGAAAAUAAUACUAAUAAUAAUGUUCAAGCACAUUCAAUAAAUACUAAUAAUAUUUCAAUAAUGUCUCCAUCACGACAAGAACAUUACGAACUUCAUGAUAGGCAAAAAACAAAAAUGUUUGAGAUUGUUGUGGCUUCUAUGAAUGAAAUGGUUGAACUUUGGAAAAGAAAUGAUCCAAUUUGGAUAGAUUCAUCAAGUGAAGGGAGGUGUUCUAUUCAUCGUGAGAGUUAUGAAAGAACAUUUCCAAAUCCAAAUCGACCUUAUUACCAAUCAUCGGCUAAUCGAAUUGAAUCACCAAAGGAUUGUGAAGUUGUGUCAAUGACUGCAAGUGAGUUGAUCCAUAAUUUUCUUGAUCCAGUCAAAUGGAUGGAGUUGUUUCCUACUAUAGUCACAAAAGCUAGGACUGUUGAAGUUCUUGAUUCGGGGACUUGGGGAGGUUCUAUACAAUUAAUGUAUGAAAAGUUGCAUAUUUUAUCUCCUCUAGUGGAAGCUAGAGAUUUUUUCUUCAUACGUAGUUGUAGACAAUUUGAUCCAACAACAUGGAUUAUGAUGGAUGUUUCUUAUGAUCCAUUCAAUGAGAUUCAAAGUGGUGUACAUUCUUAUUCUUGGAAGUUUCCUUCUGGUUGUGCCAUUCAAGAUAUAGGUAAUGGCCAAAGUAAGGUUACUUGGGUGGAACAUGUUCAAGUAUAUGAAAAAAAGCAAGUACAUCGUAUCUUUAGAGACUUGUUGUGUGAUCGUCAAACAUACGGAGCUAAAAGAUGGAUUGUUACACUUCAAAGGAUGUCUGAGAGAUAUAAUUUUGCCAUGGGUGCAAUAUGCCCUACUAGGCAUGAUUUUAAUGUAGCUAGAGUGUUUAAUUAUCUAGAAGGGCUGAAAAAUACAAUACAAAUAUCUCAAAGGAUGGUGAAGAACUUUUUUGAAAUCCUAAGCAUGACAGACAACUUAGAUUUUCCAACUUCAUCACGGCUCAACCGCGGAGAUAGAAUUUCAAUAAGAAUAAAUGAAGAAAUUAUCCAACCAAAAGGCUUUAUUGCCACUGCUGCUACUUCUUUGUGGCUCCCUCUUUCAUUCCAAGAUGUCUUCAAUUUUUUCAAAGAUGACAAGACAAGAAGUCAGUGGGAUAUUUUGACUGGUGGGAAUAAUGUGAUUGAGUUAGCUCGAGUACUAACAGGAACUCUUCCAGAAAACAGUAUUACAAUCAUUCAGCCUUGUAUGCAAAAGGAAAUGUUAGUGCUCCAAGAGACAAGCAUUGAUAGUAUGGGAGCAUUUUUAGUUUAUGCACCCAUAGAUUUACGAGCAAUCACUUCAAUUGUCAAUGGAGGUGAUGUAAAAAGAGUUCCCAUUUUGCCCUCAGGUAUCACCAUAAGUCCUGAUGGUCGCCUCUCCUCGGAUAGGGACAGUACUGCAAAUGCUGAAAAUGGUUCAAUUUUGACAGUGACUUUUCAAAUAUUGAUAAGUGGUCAUAAUAAUCCAACCUCCCAGAAGCAACAAAUGGAGAUCAGGACAAUCAAGUAGCGGAUGUGCUUCCAAAGAAGGAAACAGAAUUAACAUACCCUGCCUAUAUCUCCAUUAAUCAGAAUCUGCUGCAACUAUAAUUAGGAUAAGUGGCAGCUUCCAAACCUAAUGAUCAGAUAUGAUAAGAAUUGUAUUCAAGCUACGGAGUUCUUGAUGGAGGACUUUAGCGUAAUUAGUGAAAUUGUUUCCAUUUGGUCAGUAGGUCACGCGUUCACGUCGUGGAAACAACCUCUUGCACAAAUACAAGGUAAAGCUGCGAACAAUCUUGAAGAAGUUCAUCAAUCGCUGGAUUUCUCAAAAUCUCUGUGAAUAUAUAUUAACUAAUUGUAAACUGUUUAAGAGGUUUCCAGCUCUAUGCAUCAGUUCCCUUAAAUAUCUGACUCUACAUGUGUGCUCUAGUUUAGAAACUUUUCCUGAAAUACUCGGAAGCAUGGAACUGGAGAUGGAGAUUCACAUGCUAGUUUGAUGAUGAGGGAUCUAAAUUCAAUGCAUUUUUCAUUUCCAUGUUUAUUGUGUCAGAAUGUCUCGUCAAUGCGGCAUGACAUCUCUGCUUCAGAUUUCUUGUCACUAUGAGCAUUUACCAUUAAGCAUGGUGGGAAUGGAUAAAAGUGUAUCAGUUAAUUUGCCUUAAAAUUGGUAUGUACCUGAUAACUUCUUGGGAUUUGCUGUAUGUUGCUCUGGCAGGUUAAUCUGACAUGAUAAAUUUUGUAAAACAGUUUGGUUGUGAAAUGCAAUGAUCAAGCUCUCUAACUUUAGCGAUACAACUGCAGGAGUCAUUUUCAUAUUUGUACCACGUUAAACGUGGAGGUUCAAUUUAUGAUAGUGGAAUAGAUCUUCAAGUAAAACAACCCUCUUGAAUUUUCCUACCUGAUAGAUAUCAUGUUGAAGAUGAUGAUGAUAGAUUGAGAAAGACAAUUACCACUAGAACUUAGUGCCUGAAGUGGUGUAGUUUAAUUAUCUCUUGCAUUAAUUACCAAAUUAGUUUUUCCUUCAAGAAGUAAAAUUUUGGUAUGAUUUUCAGGCCUGUGCAUCUGCUGAGGAAUUAUGCGGCAGUUGCCACAGUUAACUAAACUUCAAUAUCACAGAUACUUACUAUACUAAUAGCCAUCUUAUCUGGAAGAACCUAAUCUCGUAUACUAUGAACCAAAAUUAGCAAUGCAGUCAGCUGUACAAUUAAUGUCUGAUUUGGAGACACUGACUUUAGCCUUGUCAGUUAUCAAUAUCAUGUUAGUGAUAAUCAAGAAGUUUGUUUCUAUCAUAUUGCAGAUGCCAAAGUAAAAAAGGAAGAUCGUAUUCAUAUUACCAUCAUGGUAUGUGAAAAUUCCACCACAAGCUGCUUCAGGUACUGAGGCGCUGAAUUAACACAUGCCAUAUUCUCAAAAGAAGUUCGUACGAUUUUGAGCAAGAGGGUACCUGAAACUGACGCAGGUGAGUAGGUAUAGAAUACCUAGGGGCACGAGAAAACUUUGUUUAAGGAACUCAUCAAUAUAGCUGAGUAACUUUGUGAGCAGGGGUGCUUCCUCACAAAGGGGAUCGCAGUGACCAGUCCUGAGAGACUGUUAUGGUUUAUUCCAGCUGAUAUUAAGAAUUAAAUUGGAUCUGCAACUUAAGGGCUUAACUCCUUCCAAUUAGUUCUACAGUUCAAGAAAGGAAAUUGAGUGUUAAGGAUCAAUAGUGUCAUCUGCAUAGCAUAGCUGAGAGAUAUUUGGUCCCUUCUUGUUGGUGCGAAGAGGGAUGAAGUUUUGGCUUAGACGACCACUAACACUGCAACAAAAAAGACAUUUAGUGGCAAUAAGUUUUCCUUCUAGUGAUAAUAUUUAUUAAUGUUGCAAAAAUAUUUAGCAGCAAUUGAGUUAAUGUCAGUGCAUCUAGAAACGCUAAAGCCCCUUUAGCAACAUUUAUGUAAAGUAUUGGUUAUAAAUACUCAUAUUUAUUAUUGCAGCUAAAUAUAAUAUAGCGGCAAUUAUAUUA